rnacentral:rRNA from 1 species
GCUGAACGCUGGCGGCGUGCCUAAUACAUGCAAGUCGAGCGAAGCGGGGACGGGUGAGUAACACGUGGAUAACCUCCUAUAAGACUGGGAUAACUUCGGGAAACCGGAGCUAAACCGGAAACUUAUAGAUGGAUCCUCGCUGCAUUAGCUAGUUGGUAAGGUAACGGCUUACCAAGGCAACGAUGCAUAGCCGAGCUGAGAGGGUGAUCGGCCACACUGGAACUGAGACACGGUCCAGAAUCCUACGGGAGGACGCAGUAGGGAAUAUUGCGCAAUGGACGAAAGCCUGACGGAGCAACGCCGCGUGAAUGAUGAAGGUCUUAGGAUCGUAAAGCACUGUUAUUAGGGAAGCGGUACCUAAACAAAAAGCCACGGCUAACUCCGUGCCAGCCGCCGCGGUAAUUC